rnacentral:rRNA from 1 species
GAAUGUGCGGUUUAAUUGGAUUCAACGCCGGAAAACUCACCGGGAACGACCUGUGGAUGAGAGUCAACCUGACGAGUUUACUCGAUAGCAGGAGAGGUGGUGCAUGGCCGUCGUCAGCUCGUACCGUAGGGCGUUCACUUAAGUGUGAUAACGAGCGAGACCCACAUCUCUAAUUGCUAAUGUAUAUGCGAAUAUGCAUGCACUUUAGAGAGACCGCCAUCGCUAAGAUGGAGGAAGGAGCGGUCGACGGCAGGUCAGUACGCCCCGAAUUUCCCGGGCUACACGCGCAUUACAAAGAACGGGACAAUGCGUUGCAACCUCGAAAGGGGAAGCUAAUCGCGAAACCCGUCCAUAGCUAGGAUUGAGGGCUGUAACUCGCCCUCAUGAAUCUGGAUUCCGUAGUAAUCGCGGGUCAACAACCCGCGGUGAACAUGCCCCUGCUCCUUGCACACACCGCCCGUC